AACCUUUAGCCACAAACAAGUAUUAAAGGCAACGCCUGCCCAGUGAACAAUUAAACGGCCGCGGUACCCUAACCGUGCAAAGGUAGCGUAAUCAUUUGUCUAUUAAUUGUAGACCUGUAUGAAAGGCAAAAUGAGGGCCUAACUGUCUCUUAUAGUAAAUCAAUUAAACUGAUCUUCCAGUACAAAAGCUAGAAUACCAACAUAAGACCAGAAGACCCUGUGAAGCUUUAACAAACCUAUUAAACCCCCUAAUAACUACUUUCGGUUGGGGCGACCUUGGAAAAAAAAGAAACUUCCAAUCAUGACUAAAACUCACAAAAGGCCCACAAGCCCACAACGACCCAGCACAGCUGAUAAUUGAACCAAGUUACUCCAGGGAUAACAGCGCUAUCUUCUUCAAGAGCCCAUAUCAAAAAGAAGGUUUACGACCUCGAUGUUGGAUCAGGACAUCCUAGUGGUGUAGCAGCUACUAAGGGUUCGUUUGUUCAACGAUUAAUAGUCCU
rnacentral:rRNA from 1 species